UACGUAGGGGGCUAGCGUUAAUCGGAAUUACUGGGCGUAAAGCGUGCGCAGGCGGCUUUGUAAGACUGUCGUGAAAUCCCCGGGCUUAACCUGGGAAUGGCGAUGGUGACUGCAAGGCUAGAGUUUGGCAGAGGGGGGUAGAAUUCCACGUGUAGCAGUGAAAUGCGUAGAGAUGUGGAGGAACACCGAUGGCGAAGGCAAUCCCCUGGGCCUGCACUGACGCUCAUGCACGAAAGCGUGGGGAGCAAACAGG
rnacentral:rRNA from 1 species